UACAGAGGGUGCGAGCGUUAAUCGGAAUUACUGGGCGUAAAGCGCACGUAGGCGGAUCGAUCAGUCAGGGGUGAAAUCCCAGAGCUCAACUCUGGAACUGCCUUUGAUACUGUCGAUCUGGAGUAUGGAAGAGGUGAGUGGAAUUCCGAGUGUAGAGGUGAAAUUCGUAGAUAUUCGGAGGAACACCAGUGGCGAAGGCGGCUCACUGGUCCAUUACUGACGCUGAGGUGCGAAAGCGUGGGGAGCAAACAGG
rnacentral:rRNA from 1 species